rnacentral:rRNA from 1 species
GACGAACGCUGGCGGCGUGCUUAACACAUGCAAGUCGAACGGAAAGGCCCUGCGUUUGUGGGGUGCUCGAGUGGCGAACGGGUGAGUAACACGUGAGUAACCUGCCCUUGACUUUGGGAUAACUUCAGGAAACUGGGGCUAAUACCGGAUAGGAGCUCCUGCUGCAUGGUGGGGGUUGGAGAGUUUCGGCGGUUGGGGAUGGACUCGCGGCUUAUCAGCUGGUUGGUGGGGUAGGGGCUUACCAAGGCUUUGACGGGUAGCCGGCCUGAGAGGGUGACCGGCCACAUGGGGACUGAGAUACGGCCCAGACUCCUACGGGAGGCAGCAGUGGGGAAUAUUGCACAAUGGGCGGAAGCGUGAUGCAGCAACGCCGCGUGCGGGAUGACGGCCUUCGGGUUGUAAACCGCUUUCGCCUGUGACGAAGCGUGAGUGACGGUAAUGGGUAAAGAAGCACCGGCUAACUACGUG